GCCUGGCUAGCUCAGUCGGUAGAGGUAGAGCAUGUGACUCUUGAUCUCAGGGUCAUGAGUUCAAGCCCAUGUUGGGUG
rnacentral:tRNA from 1 species